CUCUUUCUGUUGUACAAAUGCAUGGCAUAUUUUAGAAUUCAGUGACCUUCAAUGAUGUGCAUGUGAAAUUCAGCCAAGAAGAGUGGGCUUUGCUGGAACCCUCACAGAAACAACUCUACAAAGAUGUUAUGCUAGAGACCUGUAAAAACCUCACUGCAAUAGGCUACAAUUGGGAAGACCAUGCCCUUGAAGAACAUUUUCAAAGUUCUACAAGUAAUAAAAGGCAUGAAUACAGUCAUACUGGAGAGAAACCCUUUAAAUGCACUCUAUGUGGUAAAGCCUUCCCCUAUAUCACUGUUCUCAUACGGCAUAAAAGAACACACACAGGAGAGAAGUCUUACAAAUGUAAUCAAUGUGAUAAAGCCUUUGCAAAAAAAGUCAUCUCAUGUGGCAUAAAAUAACACACACUGGAGAGAAACCUUAUGAAUGUAACCAGUGUGGUAAAGCCUUUGCAGAAAACAGUAAUCUCUUAAACCAUAAAAGAACACAUAUUGGAGAGAAACCUUAUGAAUGCAACCAGUGUGGUAAAGCCUUUGCAAAAAACAAUACUCUCAUAUGGCAUAAAAGAACACACACUGGAGAGAAACCUCAUGAAUGUAACCAGUGCGGUAAAGCCUUUGCACAAAACACUCUUGUCAUAAGACAUAAAAGAACACACCCUGGAGAGAAACCUUAUGAAUGUAACCAGUGCAGUAAAGCCUUUGCAAAAAAAAAAAAAAAAGUCAUCUCAUAAGCUAUAAAAGAACACAUACUAGACAGAAACCUUAUGAAUAUACUCAAUAUGAUAAAGCCUUUGCACAGCAGAGUAGUCUCUAAAAACAUGAAAAAACACACCGUGAAGAGAAGCCUGGUGAGGGUAAUUAGUGUGAUGAAGUUUUUGCAUAUAACAGUCAUCGGAAACCACACGAAUAUACCUAUGUGGCAAAGCCUUUGCACAUAACAUCUCCUAAUACAUAAAAGAACACAUACUGGAAAGAAGCUGUCUGACUGUAACCAAUAUAAAAAAUCUUUUGGACUUCAGAAUCAUCUUCACAUUCAUGAAAGAAAUCCUAAUGGACAGAAAGCCUGUGAGUGCUUUUAACAAGGUGAAACCAUUCCACAUUUGUAUAAUCUUCAUCAUCAUGAAAGGAUUCAUACUGGAGAAAAAACUUAUAAAUAUGUUCAAAUUGUGAGGCCUUGCACAAAUCUAGAGUCAUCAUCAUCAUAAAAGUAUCCUUACUGGAGAGGGAUUCUGUGACUAUGAGAAAUAUGGAAAGACCUUUGUGAUCUUUGGUCUACUGAGAUCCAACAGAACUGAAAAACUAGCUCAAUGGAAAUUACUUCCCUUUUCUGAAGGGGAAGGGGAAAGGGAAUAGGGGCAAUAGGAAUGGAGGGUAGUACUCGGGGAGAGGAGGGAGGGGAGAUUAUGAUUGGAAAGUAAAUUAAAUAAACUUAUUUUUAAAAAGAAUACAAUGAAUGGUAAAAUCAAUUACAUGCAAAAGUAUUAUAUAAUGUGUUUAGGGAAGACUUAUUGAUAAACCUGAUUCUCAACAUUUACUGUUUUCAAUUGCCUCACUUUAUACAAGAAACUUUUAGUCCAGUGGAUGAAUAUGUAGGGUAUGGUGAACUAACACCAGCCAGGAAGUUCUCUGAGAGUAUCACAACAGUGGUAACCUGUAGAAGUUUCUUUGUGUACAUAUACCUAUUGUUCCAGGGGUACUGAUAAACAUCACAACCCACACUAAAUUUUGAUAUAUGAGGGAGGAGGCUUUCUUUUCCAUGUAUGACAGUGCUUCUGGCCUAGAUGUGUAAUCAUGUCAAGGGUGAGUUUUCUCUGCCUGACUUCAUCUGGAGAGUGUCUUUAGACAUCAACACCACUCAUCAAAUUUGAUAGACGUCCUUUGACACAGAUCCCUGAUAACUCUCCCCUCCCUUCAAAUAUAGGAUAAUUUGGUUCUGUGUUCUUAUUAUUAUUCAUAUACUAGGAAUGUGCUGUUUAAUGCAAAUUGAGCAUCCUUGAAUUGCCUAGUAUUAAACAAUUAUCUACACCUAUA